UACGGAGGGGGCUAGCGUUGUUCGGAAUUACUGGGCGUAAAGCGCACGUAGGCGGCUUUGUAAGUUAGAGGUGAAAGCCCGGGGCUCAACUCCGGAAUUGCCUUUAAGACUGCAUCGCUAGAAUUGUGGAGAGGUAAGUGGAAUUCCGAGUGUAGAGGUGAAAUUCGUAGAUAUUUCGGAAGAACACCAGUGGCGAAGGCGACUUACUGGACACAUAUUGACGCUGAGGUGCGAAAGCGUGGGGAGCAAACAGG
rnacentral:rRNA from 1 species